rnacentral:pre_miRNA from 1 species
UUUUUACUCCCUUCGUUUCAAAUUACUCGUCGUAGAAAUGGAUGUAUCUAGAACUAAAAUACAUCUAGAUACAUCCAUACUUGCGACAAGUAAUUCGGAACGGAGGGAAUAGUAU